rnacentral:rRNA from 1 species
AGAGCGAACGCUGGCGGCAGGCCUAACACAUGCAAGUCGAGCGCCCGUAGCAAUACGGGAGCGGCAGACGGGAGAGUAACACGUGGGAACGUACCCUUCAGUUCGGAAUAACCCAGGGAAACUUGGACUAAUACCGAAUACGUCCGUAAGGAGAAAGAUUUAUCGCUGAAGGAUCGGCCCGCGUCUGAUUAGCUUGUUGGUGAGGUAACGGCUCACCAAGGCGACGAUCAGUAGCUGGUCUGAGAGGAUGAUCAGCCUCACUGGGACUGAGACACGGCCCAGACUCCUACGGGAGGCAGCAGUGGGGAAUAUUGGACAAUGGGCGCAAGCCUGAUCCAGCCAUGCCGCGUGGAUGAUGAAGGCCCUAGGGUGUAAAGUCCUUUCGACGGGGAAGAUAAUGACGGUACCGUAGAAGAAGCCCCGGCUAACUUCGUGCCAGCAGCCGC